rnacentral:rRNA from 1 species
AGUAGUUGUUGGGUUAACGUCCCGUAACGAGCGACCUACCUUGUCCUUAGUACCAGCACGUUAAGGUGGGCACUCUAAGGAGACUGCCGGUGACAAACCGGAGGAAGGUGGGGAUGACGUCAAGUCAUCAUGGCCCUUACGGCCUGGGCUACACACGUGCUACAAUGGUCGGUACAAAGGGUUGCCAAGCCGCGAGGUGGAGCUAAUCCCAUAAACCGAUCGUAGUCCGGAUCGCAGUCUGCAACUCGACUGCGUGAAGUCGGAAUCGCUAGUAAUCGUGAAUCAGAAUGUCACGGUGAAUACGUUCCCGGGCCUU